UCCCUGGUAGUCUAGUGGUUAGGAUUCAGUGCUUUCACCACUGUGGCCCAGGUUCACUCUCUGGUCUGGGAA
rnacentral:tRNA from 1 species